UCUCUUCCUUUCUUGAAUGCUUGUUUAAUGUGUUGUGGUUGCAUGGUUGUCGUGGCUUGUUUGUUAUGCGCAUGGUAUUGAGGUUGGUUGCUUGUGGAUGCGGCUGGCCAUUGUUGUUGAUUGUGGUUUAUUGCGCAUUGGAGCUUGUUGCCUUGCGUGGGACUCUUGUGCAUGAGGUUAGUUAAUUGUUGCCUUCCUUGUGUUGCCUUGCCGUGAGGUUGCUUGUUGCUUGUGGUGUUGAGGUUCGGCCAUUGUAGAGUUGGGGUGUAACUCUUGUGAGUUGUUGCCGUGGGACACUCCUUUGUGUGUGGUGUUUGAGGUCAUUG
rnacentral:misc_RNA from 1 species